UUCUUUUCUGUUCUUGUUCACUCAUUGCCUGACACAGUGCCUAGGAUUAGUUUCAUUCUCUACUAUUUGUAUUUGUUUGUCUGAAUUAGGAGAACCAAAAGAUGUCCUACUUACAGUGUUUCAUGGAAAAUCAUUUUGGGGGAAAAAAAAAAAAAAACGCUUAAAGCUACAGAACUUUAUUUUCAGAUAGGCUGUUAUGUGGGUUGCGCACAGACCUAAUUAUUCGUUUAAAUAAGCAUAUUUCUAUAUAGAAAUCAUUUGACAGACACAUUUUGUAAACUAAUGGUGUCAUAUACAACAAAUAAAAAUGGAUAUAAUGAGGUAGUUCACAAAGAAAUAAAUACUCACAUAUGUGCCUUUAAAGGGGGGGGGGGAAUGCUCGUUUUCACUCAAUCUCCUGUUAAUCUUGAGUACCUAUAGAGUAGUACUGCAUCCUUCAUAACUCCAAAAAGUCUUUAGUUUUAUUAUAUUCCUAAGAGAAAGAUAGUCUGUACCGAUUUUUCCCGGAAAAACACGACUGGCUGGAGGCGUGACGUGUGGGCGGAGCUAAAGAAUCACGAGCGCCAGUUGGCUUUUGCAUUGAGAGCGUUUGGAAGCUGUGACAUUACCAUGAGGGAAAAGCCAUCAUCCAAAACAAACCAUGGCUUACAGUCAGAUUCAGCCGUUUAUUUAUUCAGGCGUUUAUUAACUGAACAAGAGCAGCAGCAGCGGGGCUCGAACCCAGGUCUUCGGCAUGGGAGGCGGACACACUAACAAGGAGGCAGAGAUAUUUGAGCAGUUUUACUCACCGCCUGCGGUUUUCGUUGGGAUUGCAUCAUCCUUAAGAAAUAAACGAGACGCAAAUCCGUUGUCAAACUGGGCUUUGUUUGUAAAACAAGCAUCUUCGAAAUUUAGGGAUUAUUUUUGCUCUGUAAAAAUAAACUCCAUCCACUGGUCCCUUAAUUAUGUUUUUUUUUUGGUAAUCUGUGCAGGGUUGUCUUGCCCUGGAAACCAAAAACACACUUCUUUUGUGACUUUUUGCGACGCUCUCGCUCUGAUCAGUGAAUAGCUCUGAUCAGUGAAAUGUGUGUUCAGCCUCGCUAUACGGGAGUGCGCGCUCUUCUGGCAGAAGUGCCUUCGGACCCAUAUAAGGAAAUUCCGCUCCAUCUAACGUCACACAGAGCCAUUCUCGAAAAAAACUUUCCGAAACUUGGAGAAGGGUCUGGCUGCAGACCAUGGGCGAGUGGAGCUCCACUCUCAAACCGGAAGUACGUCACCUCCACUUGAAAACAUCAAGAUGGCGUCGCCGGGAGUACUUCAAACUUAAAAUCAGAUCAAAUGUAUAUCAAGUGUUAUCCAUCCUUGAUAACACCUCCACAAAUAGAGACUGGAACUUCUGAGCACCAUCACCUUGUCUGCUUUGGGACUGUCAUAGGAGAAUGAUGCACCCAGCAAUCAGAUGCAUCAGAACAACAAAGCACAACUGUGGUGGACCAGGCACCUUCAGCAACAAGUAAAUUGCUUUAACUUUAAUGAUAAUGAAAUGUCAGUAUUGUAAUUAAACUUGACCCAUCUGACGUAAUUGUUCAUGCCAGAGAUUUAACAACACUGUCAGUCAGGAGCAUAUUUAACAGGAGCCACACUCAACUGGCUUGAUGGUGACUUCAGUAAGUGUGGUUGACCCUCUUGUUUUUGUGGCUAUAAUAAUUAGGCUAAGUAAUCUCAAUCUCUUCCAUUUCCCUAACAUGAAACUUGACUGAAACAUGAAAAUGAUACUUAACCGGUGCAGUGAAGAUAUUUAAAGAAACACUAUCACUAUCUAAAGUACAGAAAGCCUUACAUCAUCUCUAGGUGCAGUCACCUACAGCGCAGCCAGCUUCACAAAGACUGUGGGGCUGGUCACCAGGAAAAUGGACAACAGGGAGUGCUUUUGGGGUUUUACUCCUCAAAUGAUCACCCUGGCUACUGUAGCUGGGAUUGCUUCACAGACGAUGGAGGUCUUGAAGAGUAAAGUGUGCGUGCGUGCGCACACAUUGUGUUUUUACUUUAACAAUUAUGGUCACUUGCAGUUAAUUUGUUUUUAGUGUAGUGUAAGAUGUGUUAAUUAUUAUUAUUAUUACUCAAAAACCAUUAAAACUUCUAAAUUGUGGAAGUUAUUCUUCAUUAUGUUACUGUGGUUAUUUUGUAUAUGUUAUUAUUUCGAUUAAAAUACAAAAUUCAACACACAAAUUCUGGUUGAGGUAUUAUUUUAAUAAUUUAUUUAAUAUUUCAUUAUUUUUUCACUGCUAAAUAUUACAAACAUAGGGUUAACUUUCUAAAAUGUAUGGAAUGUUACAUUGUCAGUUGUACAUUGGUAAAACAAACAUGAACAAAAGGCAGAAGCCCUAAAAAUAUGGAUUGUGGAUGUCGGUAGUGCAAAUUGCUGAGGGGAAAUAAAAAAAAAAUUGCUGUCGUGUC